CUUAGUGAAUAUUUUUCCUUAGUUUGUCUCUCACUUUAUGACAUUCCUACUAAUUAUUUAAGUUAUUUCCUAUGCUUUAUUUUUUUUCUAUGAUUUGGGAACUCUAUAGUCAUUCAUUUGAGUGUUGACAUAUCUGGCUCUGGAUUCUCUGUUAACUCUUUUCUUUUACGUCAACUUAUUUUCUUCCUGAUACUUUUUGGAUAAAUUCUUUGACUUGAUUUUUCACCUUCCACAUUUUCUCAUUUGGCUGUAUCCUUUUGAUUGUCUAUUGAGUUCCUUGUUUCAAUAAUUAUGUGUUUUAAUACACAGAUCUCAGUAUUAUCAUUAAAGCUACCACCCUAUUUUAUUCUUUUCUUUUUUAUUUUAUUUUAGUUAUUUAUUUGAGAGGUAGAGCUAAAGACAGAGAGAAAGGUCUUCCAUCUGCUAGAUCAUUCCUCAAAUGGCUACAAUGCCAGAUCUGGGCUGACCUGAAGGCAGGUGCCAGGAGCUUCUUCCAGGUCUCCCACAUGGGUGCAGGGGCCCGAGCACUUGAGGUAUCUUUUACCAGGCCAUAAUCAGAGAGCUGGAUUGAAAGAAGAACUUUCAGGACACGAGAUGGCAUCUCGAGAUGCCAGCACUACAAUGGAGGCUUAGACUACACUGCCCCAGUGCCAGCAACAAUUUUACAGUUUUCUUUAAGGAUAUUGUCUGUUUUAAAUUUCCAUUUUUUACCUGCUUUCUCUCUGGUAGAUUAUUCAGUGUAUUGUACUUUUUAUAAUCCUGAGGUUUCUUAUUAAUCACUUUCUGAGUCUAUGUUGCUGUGGAAUACUUAGAUUUGUCCUUUUUGACAUCAUAUGUUGGGAAGUAGGUAAUAACAUCAGAACCUAAGCCAUAGAUUCAUGCUUUCUACAUGAGUGAAGGGGAGAAAUGAGGAUGGAGAAGUACAAGGUUGCUCUAUGUUCCUGCAGAAAAGUUUCAUUAAAUAUAUUGCUUAAAAUAUCCAUAAAAGUUAACAGAUGCACGAAGAAUAAUAAAAUAUCUUGAAAACAGAUAAGACAGGAAGAAUUCAGGUGAAAAUUAACUAUAAUACAAAAAAGCUGAAGAAAAUUAAAUCAGUGUUUAUGUUGGUGAAAAAGCAGUAUAUAUGGACAGAUAUGCUAACAUAUAUUACAUAAUUAAUAAACAAAAAUAAGCUAUAUAAAAAUCAAAUCUAAUAAUUGGAGCACCAUUUAGCAGCUUUUAAGAGGUCCAUAUCCAAUAUCUGGGAACCUAUGUUCAUACCUGGCUCCGGCGCUUGACUCCAGCUUCCUACUCAUGGACAUCCUGGGAAGCAGUGGUUAUGGCUCCAGCGGUUGUGUUCCUGUCACCUGUUUGGGAGAUCUGCAUUGAAUUCCUGGCUCCUUACUCAUCUCUGCUCAGCCCUUGCAAUUUUGAGUAUUUGAAGACUGCAUUAAAGGAUGGGACAGAUGUCUCUGUCAAUUUCCUGCCAAUGUAGACCUUGAGAGGCAGCCAGCAAGAGAUGACUUAAGUACUUGAGUUCCUGCUAUCCUCCUGGAGACCUGGAUUGAGAUCCUGGCUACCAGCUUCAGUCUGACCAAGCCCUAGCCAUUGUAAGCGUUAAAGAAGUGAACCACAGAUGAAAGUGCUCACUCUUUCUCUUUCUCGCUCUCUCUUUC